CCAGGCUAAACGCCUUACGGGGUGGAGGUAUAAGCCUGCAGUUCCCUCUGUGAUUAUGGGAAACGUGAACUCGCUGUUAAACAAGACAGACGAGCUAUCCGCUUUGAUAAGAAGUGACAGGACUUACAGAGAGAGCAGCCUGCUGUGUUUGACAGAGACAUGGCUAACCAGAUACAUCCCAGAAGUAAACGUGGAGCUACCUGGAUUCCACCAGGUGAGAGCGGACCGGGACUGUAAACAAAGUGGCAAGAGGAAAGGAGGAGGACUGGCACUGUACGUGAACAUCAGAUGGUGUAACCCGGGUCAUGUGACUGUGAAGGAGAAGCUCUGCUCUAAAGACAUUGAACUGUUAGCAGUAAGUCUUCGGUCAUAUUACAUACCGCGGGAGUUUACCCACGCCAUCGCGGUUGUUGUUUACAUUCCUCCACACGCUCACGCGGACACGGCAUGCGACAUCAUUCACUCUGUCGUGUUGAGGCUGCAAACCCAGAACCCUGAGACCUUCAUUCUUAUCUCUGGAGACUUCAACCAUGUUACAUUGGACAAUACACUUCAUGAUUUCCAUCAAUUUGUUGACUGCCCCACCAGGCUGAAUAGGAAAAUAGACCUACUGUAUGCUAACUCUAAGGAGGCAUACUCAGCCAAUCCCCUCCCACCACUUGGAAAGUCAGAUCACAACCUUGUCCUCCUGCGGCCACAGUACACGCCCAAGAUCCAGAGCCAACCCCAGACCACCCGCCCCUUCAGGAAGUGGUCUCCUUUGGCAGAGGAGACUCUGACAGACUGUUUUGAGUCCACUGUGCAUUACUUUCCAAACAACAAAUCCUGGAUCACGAGUGACAUUAAAGACGCCCUCAAUAGAAAAAAGAGAACGUUCAGAGAUGGAGACCGAGAGGGGCUGAAGCAGGCCCAGCAGGAACUAAAGGUCAGUCUGAAAGAGGCCAAGGCGUCCGACAGCAGAAAGAUGAGACAAAAACAGAAACAAAACAACAUGAGAUAGGUAUGGGAAGGGAUUAGAACCAUUACAGGCCACACGGAGAGAGAC
rnacentral:lncRNA from 1 species